AGGAAAAGAAACCAACAGGGAUUGCCCUAGUAACGGCGAGUGAAGCGGCAACAGCUCAAAUUUGAAAUCUGGCGCAAGCCCGAGUUGUAAUUUGUAGAGGAUGCUUCAGGCAGCGGCCGGUCUAAGUUCCUUGGAACAGGACGUCAUAGAGGGUGAGAAUCCCGUAUGCGACCGGUUGGCACCCGUCAUGUAGCUCCUUCGACGAGUCGAGUUGUUUGGGAAUGCAGCUCUAAAUGGGAGGUAAAUUCCUUCUAAAGCUAAAUACCGGCCAGAGACCGAUAGCGCACAAGUAGAGUGAUCGAAAGAUGAAAAGCACUUUGGAAAGAGAGUUAAAAAGCACGUGAAAUUGUUGAAAGGGAAGCGCAUGCAACCAGACUUGUAGGCGGUGUUCCGCCGGUCUUUUGACCGGUGUACUCGCCGCCGGCGGGCCAGCAUCACUUGGGGGCGCCGGAUAAAGGCGCGGGGAAUGUGGCUCCUCGGAGUGUUAUAGCCCCGCGCACAAUACGGCGAUCCUCGAGUGAGGUCCGCGCUUCGGCUAGGAUGCUGGCGUAAUGGUUGUAGCGGCCCGUCUUGAACCACGGGCCAAGGAGUCUAACAUCUAUGCGAGUGUUCGGGCGUCAAACCCCUACGCGUAAUGAAAGUGAACGGAGGUGGGAAGCGCAAGCUGCACCAUCGACCGAUCCUGAUGUCCUCGGAUGGAUUUGAGUAAGAGGAUAGCUGUUGGGACCCGAAAGAUGGUGAACUAUGCCUGAAUAGGGUGAAGCCAGAGGAAACUCUGGUGGAGGCUCGAAGCGGUUCUGACGUGCAAAUCGAUCGUCAAAUUUGGGUAUAGGGGCGAAAGACUAAUCGAACCAU
rnacentral:rRNA from 1 species